CCCACCCUAGUCCAGCGGUAAACCGCCCGUUCGGGAGUAAAAUCCUGAACCGGGCCGGCAGAGGUUCGACUCCUCUCGGUGGCA